CAUUGCGGGAGAGGCGCAACACUCAGGCAAUUUAAUCUUAGGCAACUAGGGCCGUUUGAGGAUUAAAUGAUGGGAGUGGUUUGCCGAGGUGUGAAUUCACUAGACUGGAAUGAACAUCGGCUGAGUCAGGUUGAAUCCUAUCAGCUGUCAUUUAAAACGCAUUAGCUGUUUAAAUGGAGUGCUCUGAUUAA
rnacentral:ncRNA from 2 species